UUUUCGUGUAAUAAGAAAAGCCUAUUGGUUGGUUUUGGGACUUUACGUCCACUUUAUUCAACUGCUUAAAAUUAACUCUCUAUACAUAGUACAAAUCGCUUAUUUAUAUAAUCAGUCUUACACAUUCAUUCAAUAUCGGUGACAUAAACAUUACGCAAAAUGGUUAUGUGCACUCAUCGUUUUCGUGUAAGUAGAUCGACCUAGUUAUACAAAACUAUGUCGUUCUCAUUACACGCCGAUUACAAUAUUCAUGACCAAGCUCAU